GUUUUAGCAACAUACGGAGAAGUACCAAAAGCUGGAACUAUACAGAGAAGAUAAGCAUGGUCCCUGCGCUAGGAUGACACAAUAAAUAUCACAUGGUUUCUCUUAUAG
ensembl:snRNA U6 U6 spliceosomal RNA